rnacentral:rRNA from 1 species
GGCCCGGUUGGACGGUCUGCCCUCGGGCAUGUACUGUCCUGACUGGGUCUUCCCUUCUGGUGAGCUGUCGUGUUGUUUACUCAGUGCGGCAGGGAACCAGGACUUUUACUUUGAAAAAAUUAGAGUGUUUAAAGCAGGCAUUCGCUUGAAUACAUUAGCAUGGAAUAAUAAUUUAGGACUUUGCUCCUAUUUUAUUGGUUUCUAGGGGUGAAGUA